rnacentral:rRNA from 1 species
UACGUAGGGGGCUAGCGUUAUCCAGAAUUACUGGGCGUAAAGCGCGUGUAGGCGGCUGGUUAAGUGUGAUGUGAAAUCCUCGGGCUCAACCCGAGAACUGCAUUGCAAACUGGCCUGGCUAGAGUGCAGGAGAGGGAAGCGGAAUUCCAGGUGUAGCGGUGAAAUGCGUAGAUAUCUGGAGGAACACCGGUGGCGAAGGCGGGUCUCUGGGCCGAUACUGACGCUGAGGAGCGAAAGCGUGGGGAGCGAACAGG